GACGAACGCUGGCGGCGUGCUUAACACAUGCAAGUCGAACGAACUCGAGACUUCGGUCUCAAUGAGUUAGUGGCGAACGGGUGAGUAACACGUGAGAAACCUGCCCCGAAGUAGGGAAUAACCCAGAGAAAUUUGGACUAAUACCGUAUGCCCUCACAGAAUCGAAUGGUUCAGUGAGGAAAGAUUUAUCGCUUUGGGGGGGUCUCGCGGCCUAUCAGCUAGUUGGUGAGGUAAUGGCUCACCAAGGCAUCGACGGGUAGCUGGUCUGAGAGGACGAUCAGCCACACUGGAACUGAGACACGGUCCAGACUCCUACGGGAGGCAGCAGUGGGGAAUCUUGCACAAUGGGCGAAAGCCUGAUGCAGCGACGCCGCGUGGGGGAUGAAGGCCCUAGGGUCGUAAACCCCUUUCAGGAGGGACGAAAAUGACGGUACCUCCAGAAGAAGCCCCGGCCAACUACG
rnacentral:rRNA from 1 species